UUUCUCGGAUUUCUUGCAGGAAGCACUAUCUUCCUCUUCUUGGAUACCUCUUUGCACCAUUUCCAGCACUCUCCAGAAACCAAAGAUUUCUUGCAUCCUCACCACCCACAUCUCAAUUCUUUGAUUGAAAAGUAAUCUCUUUUGCGGAAGCCAUUAUUGAAACCCCAUGGAUCAAUAGCCAAUGGCUCUGAUGCCACUGUUGGAACUUAAUUAAAGCAAGAACAUACACACAUAAUUGAGAGAAAAUUAAGAGAGAAAGAAGUUAUUGUUAUUGAUCUCACUAUAUCACAAUGUCACUUUACACCAUUAUUUAUAAUGUGUUGCUUAAAGGUUAAGUUACUAACAAACUAGUAACUACCCCUAACUAACUCCCUAAAAUCAAGUAACUAACAUAACAGAAAAAACUAACAAACACACAACUCAUCACAUAAAAUCACCUAACUAACUCUUUUACUUGUGUUACAAGUAACCAACAUUGGUUACAAUGAAUUACCCUCAA
rnacentral:lncRNA from 1 species